rnacentral:rRNA from 1 species
GGUUAAGCGACUAAGCGUACACGGUGGAUGCCCUGGCAGUCAGAGGCGAUGAAGGACGUGCUAAUCUGCGAUAAGCGUCGGUGAGGUGAUAUGAACCGUUAUAACCGGCGAUUUCCGAAUGGGGAAACCCAGUGUGUUUCGACACACUAUCAUUAACUGAAUCCAUAGGUUAAUGAGGCGAACCGGGGGAACUGAAACAUCUAAGUACCCCGAGGAAAAGAAAUCAACCGAGAUUCCCCCAGUAGCGGCGAGCGAACGGGGAGGAGCCCAGAGCCUGAAUCAGUGUGUGUGUUAGUGGAAGCGUCUGGAAAGGCGCGCGAUACAGGGUGAGAGCCCCGUACACAAAAAUGCACAUAUUGUGAGCUCGAUGAGUAGGGCGGGACACGUGGUAUCCUGUCUGAAUAUGGGGGGACCAUCCUCCAAGGCUAAAUACUCCUGACUGACCGAUAGUGAACCAGUACCGUGAGGGAAAGGCGAAAAGAACCCCGGCGAGGGGAGUGAAAAAGAACCUGAAACCGUGUACGUACAAGCAGUGGGAGCCUCUUUAUGGGGUGACUGCGUACCUUUUGUAUAAUGGGUCAGCGACUUAUAUUCUGUAGCAAGGUUAACCGAAUAGGGGAGCCGAAGGGAAACCGAGUCUUAACUGGGCGUUAAGUUGCAGGGUAUAGACCCGAAACCCGGUGAUCUAGCCAUGGGCAGGUUGAAGGUUGGGUAACACUAACUGGAGGACCGAACCGACUAAUGUUGAAAAAUUAGCGGAUGACUUGUGGCUGGGGGUGAAAGGCCAAUCAAACCGGGAGAUAGCUGGUUCUCCCCGAAAGCUAUUUAGGUAGCGCCUCGUGAAUUCAUCUCCGGGGGUAGAGCACUGUUUCGGCAAGGGGGUCAUCCCGACUUACCAACCCGAUGCAAACUGCGAAUACCGGAGAAUGUUAUCACGGGAGACACACGGCGGGUGCUAACGUCCGUCGUGAAGAGGGAAACAACCCAGACCGCCAGCUAAGGUCCCAAAGUCAUGGUUAAGUGGGAAACGAUGUGGGAAGGCCCAGACAGCCAGGAUGUUGGCUUAGAAGCAGCCAUCAUUUAAAGAAAGCGUAAUAGCUCACUGGUCGAGUCGGCCUGCGCGGAAGAUGUAACGGGGCUAAACCAUGCACCGAAGCUGCGGCAGCGACACUAUGUGUUGUUGGGUAGGGGAGCGUUCUGUAAGCCUGUGAAGGUGGCCUGUGAGGGUUGCUGGAGGUAUCAGAAGUGCGAAUGCUGACAUAAGUAACGAUAAAGCGGGUGAAAAGCCCGCUCGCCGGAAGACCAAGGGUUCCUGUCCAACGUUAAUCGGGGCAGGGUGAGUCGACCCCUAAGGCGAGGCCGAAAGGCGUAGUCGAUGGGAAACAGGUUAAUAUUCCUGUACUUGGUGUUACUGCGAAGGGGGGACGGAGAAGGCUAUGUUGGCCGGGCGACGGUUGUCCCGGUUUAAGCGUGUAGGCUGGUUUUCCAGGCAAAUCCGGAAAACCAAGGCUGAGGCGUGAUGACGAGGCACUACGGUGCUGAAGCGACAAAUGCCCUGCUUCCAGGAAAAGCCUCUAAGCAUCAGGUAACAUCAAAUCGUACCCCAAACCGACACAGGUGGUCAGGUAGAGAAUACCAAGGCGCUUGAGAGAACUCGGGUGAAGGAACUAGGCAAAAUGGUGCCGUAACUUCGGGAGAAGGCACGCUGAUAUGUAGGUGAAGCGACUUGCUCGUGGAGCUGAAAUCAGUCGAAGAUACCAGCUGGCUGCAACUGUUUAUUAAAAACACAGCACUGUGCAAACACGAAAGUGGACGUAUACGGUGUGACGCCUGCCCGGUGCCGGAAGGUUAAUUGAUGGGGUUAGCGGUAACGCGAAGCUCUUGAUCGAAGCCCCGGUAAACGGCGGCCGUAACUAUAACGGUCCUAAGGUAGCGAAAUUCCUUGUCGGGUAAGUUCCGACCUGCACGAAUGGCGUAAUGAUGGCCAGGCUGUCUCCACCCGAGACUCAGUGAAAUUGAACUCGCUGUGAAGAUGCAGUGUACCCGCGGCAAGACGGAAAGACCCCGUGAACCUUUACUAUAGCUUGACACUGAACAUUGAGCCUUGAUGUGUAGGAUAGGUGGGAGGCUUUGAAGUGUGGACGCCAGUCUGCAUGGAGCCGACCUUGAAAUACCACCCUUUAAUGUUUGAUGUUCUAACGUUGGCCCGUAAUCCGGGUUGCGGACAGUGUCUGGUGGGUAGUUUGACUGGGGCGGUCUCCUCCUAAAGAGUAACGGAGGAGCACGAAGGUUGGCUAAUCCUGGUCGGACAUCAGGAGGUUAGUGCAAUGGCAUAAGCCAGCUUGACUGCGAGCGUGACGGCGCGAGCAGGUGCGAAAGCAGGUCAUAGUGAUCCGGUGGUUCUGAAUGGAAGGGCCAUCGCUCAACGGAUAAAAGGUACUCCGGGGAUAACAGGCUGAUACCGCCCAAGAGUUCAUAUCGACGGCGGUGUUUGGCACCUCGAUGUCGGCUCAUCACAUCCUGGGGCUGAAGUAGGUCCCAAGGGUAUGGCUGUUCGCCAUUUAAAGUGGUACGCGAGCUGGGUUUAGAACGUCGUGAGACAGUUCGGUCCCUAUCUGCCGUGGGCGCUGGAGAACUGAGGGGGCUGCUCCUAGUACGAGAGGACCGGAGUGGACGCAUCACUGGUGUUCGGGUUGUCAUGCCAAUGGCACUGCCCGGUAGCUAAAUGCGGAAGAGAUAAGUGCUGAAAGCAUCUAAGCACGAAACUUGCCCCGAGAUGAGUUCUCCCUGAGACUUAGAGUCUCCUGAAGGAACGUUGAAGACGACGACGUUGAUAGGCCGGGUGUGUAAGCGCAGCGAUGCGUUGAGCUAACCGGUACUAAUGAACCGUGAGGCUUAACCUU